rnacentral:rRNA from 1 species
GUAGUCUCGCACAGAUGCAUAUCAAUAAGCGGAGGAAAAGAAACUAACAAGGAUUCCCCUAGUAACGGCGAGUGAAGCGGGAAGAGCUCAAAUUUGAAAUCUUAAAGGGUUUCCCUUUACGAAUUAGUAGUUUAAAGAAGUGUUUUCUGUUGAGGUUUUGGUAAAAGUUCUUUGGAAUAGGACAUCAUAGAGGGUGAGAAUCCCGUAUUUGACCUUUACUUUCAACUUUGUGAUACACUUUCAAAGAGUCGGAUUGUUUGGGAAUGCAGUCCAAAAUGGGUGGUAAAUUUCAUCUAAAGCUAAAUAUUGGCGAGAGACCGAUAGCGAACAAGUACCGUGAGGGAAAGAUGAAAAGAACUUUGAAAAGAGAGUUAAACAGUACGUGAAAUUGUCAAAAGGGAAGCGUUUGACACCAGUGUUGUUUUUCCUGAAAAUCAAUUAAAGAACUGUUUAUGCUAAGCUUGUUUAGACUUUAUCAGCUAACUGUUUAGUUUUGAGCUUUUCUUUAAUGCACUUUUCAGUUAACAAGUCAACAUCAAUUUCUUUUGCUGUAAAAAAGCUUGAGGAAGGUGGCUUGAGAUUCGUCUUAAGUGUUUAUAGCCUCUUGCCUAUGCAGUCGGAGAGAUUGAGGUCUGCAGCGUAGAUCCUUCGGGGCUAAAUGCAUUUGUGCUAAGUUAUAGCAUUUUAUAGACAACUUGUUGACUAUGAUUUGUCUUGUAGCUUACUCGCUUAUGUUAUUUUACCUACGCUUAGGAUGUUGAUGUGAUACUGCGAGC